GUAGCAGAAACAUUCGCGUAUAAUAAAAAAUUCGCGGUUGCUGAAGUCCUGCUCGAUGGAUUCUGUGCUGGCAUCUAUCGUCAGUCGGAGAAACUACGUACCUUCGAAAGUCCCACGGGUAGUUCCAAAGGAAUCCGUCUGUUUUGUACAGCGCUAUCAAUCAUACACAGUUGCCAAAGUGUCAAGAAUCCCCUUAUCAAUGAAAGUUUCUUUAUCUUAUCUAUUAACAUCGGGAGCUUUCAUCAUCCAUUCGGAUUAAAUUUUGCCGGAGAAAUAAGUUUUGUUUAGUUCGCCGCGAGAAAUCUUGGAUCAUUGCUCAUUAGAUACGUUUUAUUUUCACUAACUCUGGAGUUGCGUAAACGUGUCGAAACUUCCCUAACCUCACUUUCACUUUGUAAACUUUGUUGUAAACAAAAAAUCUCUUAUAAUGAGACUGUUCUAGCUCUUUUGAAUAUUACUAAAAUUUGUGUCUACAAUAAUGGAAGAAGACGUCAUAGAUCAAAAGUUACAGUCAGUUGAUGCAGCCCUUGUGGAGGGGGAUCUGAAAGCAGCGCUGAAGAUUUGCAAAGAAAUAUUGCAAGCAGAUCAAACAAACUACAAAGCUCUCGUAAAGAUUGGUUUGGUGUUAUUGAAGCGGGACUUGACUGACCAGGCUCUCAAAGCGUUCCGUAAGGCAACGUUGGUGGCUCCACAGAAUUUUGAAGCCUGGUAUCAUCUGCUGGGAUAUUAUCUGACGGAUAAAUCAUCGGAUCAAACAAAUCAAUUGAUUCCAAUCUACGUUGGAUUACUCCAGGCUGAGGCGGAUGUGUUUGCAUGGCAAGAGCAUGUCAACAAGUUCUUGGAUUUAUGUGACCGCAAAGGUGACCUAAGUGCAGCCGUACCCUUACUUGCAAGUAUAGCCCGAAAUGGUGUUGGUUUGAAGCUGGAAUUCUGCUUGAAAGCCCUACAAAGAAUUUGUGCAGCAAAAUGGCCAGAAGAUCAGCUAAUAUACGUAUGUAAUUCCCAACUUUUAUCUUCGUUCAAGGGUCAGAAUACAGGUACAACAUGUCGGAACUUGAAUUAGAUGACUCAAAUUACCUAGCAGUU
rnacentral:lncRNA from 1 species